rnacentral:rRNA from 1 species
UACGUAGGCAGCAAGCGUUGUUCGGAGUUACUGGGCGUAAAGGGUGUGUAGGCGGUUCUUUAAGUUUGGUGUGAAAUCUCCCGGCUCAACCGGGAGGGUGCGCCGAAUACUGAGGGACUCGAGUGCGGGAGAGGAAAGUGGAAUUCCUGGUGUAGCGGUGAAAUGCGUAGAUAUCAGGAGGAACACCUGCGGUGUAGACGGCUUACUGGACCAUCACUGACGCUGAGGCACGAAAGCGUGGGUAGCAAACAGG